rnacentral:hammerhead_ribozyme from 1 species
AUUCAUCUGACGAGUCCCAAAUAGGACGAAACACGUGUCUUGGAU